AACGUCUACAAAGCCAAGGUGACAACAUGGAAAAAUACCUAGGUAGAAAAAGGCCACGUAGGCUGGGCACAGGGGCUCACGCCUGUAAUCCCAGCACUUUGGGAGGCCAAGGCAGGCGGAUGACCUGAGAUCAGGAGUUUGAGACCAGCCUGACCAACACGGUGAAACCCCAUCUCUACUAAAAAUGCAAAAAUAGGCCAGUUAUGGUGGGUGCCUGUAAUCCCAGCUACUGGGGAGGCUGAGGCAGGAGAAUCGCUUGAACCCAGGAGGCGGAGGUUGCAGUGAGCCGAGAUUGCUCCACUGUACUCCAGCCUGGGCGACAGAGCAAGACUCUGUCUCAAAAAAAAAAAAAAAAAAAAAGCCACCUAAAUAUGUGCAGUUGGGGGCAAGCAUGUUGCAUGUUCAGAGCUAGAAUGAAGCCCAUCGAAGCUGUGUUAGGGUGAUGGAGCAGGUGAGAUUUCUUUCUUUUGUGGCUCUCACUAUUUUCCUGGGAUGAGGAGGUGGUGUUCAGUGUAAGAAACGAUAUGGAUCUGGGGCCGGGUGCAGUGCCUCAUGCCUGUAAUCCCAGCACUUUGAGAGGCUGAGGUGGGAAGAUCACUUGAAGCCAGGAGUUUGAAACCAUCCUGGGCAACAUGGUGAGACCCUGUCUCUACAAAAAUAAAAAAUAAAUUAGCUGGGCAUGGUGGUGUGCACCUGUAGUCCUAGCUACUCGGGAGGCUGAGGUGGGUGGAUCCCUUGAACCCAGGAGGCGGAGGUUGCAGUGAGCUCUGAUUGUUCCCCUGUGCUCCAGCUUGGACAACAGAGCGAGACUCCAUCUCUGAAAAAUAAAAAACCAGAAAAUGUGAGCCUGGCCUUUUUUCAGGGUUACAACUUCUCGUCAUCACAGUCCAUCACAACCUGGGUGACGUUAGCUGGAUGUGGCCCCGCCCCGAUUUCCAUGAGACUCCUCCUGAACAAUGUUUCCAAGGAGUUGAGCUCCUGAGCCUGGUGCUGAUGAAUUGUAUUGGAGACAGUCCUCAGCGCUGAGUGUGUGUAACGAGUGUCCUCUCUCCACAGGUGCGGUCUGCCUGCAGCCUUUCUGCCACUUGUACUGGGGCUGCACCCGGACCGGCUGCUUCGGCUGCCUGGCCCCGUUCUGUGAAUCUGUAAUGAAAAGAAAUAUGUUUAUCCUCAGUGUCGGGCAGACAGUGCUUUCCUGCGACAUCAUUAUAAACAGGUAACAUUGCCCCUUCAUCUCGGCAGA
rnacentral:sRNA from 1 species